ensembl:lncRNA
AGAGGAGGAGGUGGUGGAGGAGGAGGUGAUGAGGAUGAUGAUGAUGAUGUGGAGGUGGUGGAGGAGGAGGAAGUAGUGAUGAUGAUGAAGAUGCGGAGGUGGAGGUGGAGGAGGAGGAGGAAGUAGUGAUGAUAAUGAUGAUGAUGUGGAGUUGGGAGGAGGUGGUGGAGGAGGAGGCGGUGGUGACGAUGAUGACGAUGAUGAUGUGUGUGAGGUGUUCCGAGGUGAAGGCGGUCAGGUGACCAGAGGAGCCUCUAACAGACAGCUGCUCCGGUGUAUUCUAGUCCUCUAGUAUAAUCUGUAGAUUAAGGUGCAUGGUCUCCCAGUAUAAACAGUAUAUUAUAUAUGAAAUCAAUCACAGAAUGAGCCCCCAUAGAGAUGAAUCUAUCCCAUAAUCGUAGCUCAGACAGAAGCAGUGCCAUACAAAGUGUUCUCCAUCUCUGUCCAGGUCUUCAGGGUCAGUAGUGUCGGACGUUCUGGUCGAGGAAUUUCUCGGUAAAGUGUCGCAGACGUCGGUUUGUGCCGUGAGGCUCCUCCUUCUCUGAAGAUGUACAGUAUCAGCGUGACCACGCUCCCCACAACACAACGACACGACACAACACAACGACACCACAAGGACACACCACAAGGACACAACGGACCAGCACUACUCCGGCUCAGCGUCAGGAACCAGAGGCUGAUGGACGACGGGAGCGGGGACCUGGAGGAGCAGCUUUCUAGAGGUUUCUCGUUAGCCUUUAGCUGUGUUAGCUCCCUUCAUGUUAUGAGUGUGUUGUUCUGCGGCUAACUGCUAGCAGGUGUUUCAGCGUGUUCACUGCGGUGUUAUGUUAGCAUACUGGAAGAUGUCGGUGUGUAAAGUGUCGGUGUGACGGUAUGCUUCGCUAACUAGCUGUACUAGAGCCAGCCUAGCCUGUAGCUACAACCGCCUGUCUGGGUGCUGGAGUCUCGCUAACCGCUAUAGCAGCUACUGCCUGGCUAGUUGCCGUUGCGACUGCCUAGCCAGGUGCUGUAGCCGCUACAGGGUAGCUAGCUCAAGAGUUCUGUAGCUACGCUAGAACGGCCUGCAGCCUACUACUGUAGUAGUCGUAGCGCUGUAGGAUACGCUAGGGGCCAGAACGGCCUACAGCCUGCCUGUUGGAGCUGGCCUCCCGUUCCAUGUGUUAGCCACUAGGGGCAGCAGACUCUAAGCCAAUGUGUGACGUGUCGCUCUACUCUGAUCCGUGGAGGUUUGUUUCUGUACUAAAACCAGCAGAACAUCUCCAUGAGGCUGUAGAGGUGACCAGAGAACCGCUGUAGUAGGUCCGUAGAACUACAAUAGAACAUUUCUACUUGGUCCGUAGAACUACAAUAGAACCGCUGUACAAAUUCUGAACAGUGUUGUGUGUGUUUCCAGCUUGAUCUCAAUAAACGGCCGACACGAUUUAAGACACUCGCGGUUUAUUCAUUACUGUGAAAUCCUUCCAUAUUCACAUCCCAUAACCUACACACAGAGUAGGUGCAAACACACAUGUCUAUAUCUAUAGAGAUAGAUAUAUAGAGAGAUCCAGGUAAGUACGAGGAUUCAGGAUGUCUAGUGUUGGUUCUGUGCAGCUGGGGG